UACGAAGGGUGCAAACGUUGCUCGGAAUUAUUGGGCGUAAAGCGCACGUAGGCGGCUUAGCAAGUCGGAUGUGAAAUCCCUCGGCUCAACCAAGGAAGUGCAUCCGAAACUGCUGAGCUUGAGUACGAAAGAGGAUCGCGGAAUUCCCGGUGUAGAGGUGAAAUUCGUAGAUAUCUGGAGGAACACCGGUGGCGAAGGCGGCAUUCUGGACCAAUACUGACGCUGAGGAGCGAAAGCCAGGGGAGCAAACGGG
rnacentral:rRNA from 1 species